rnacentral:rRNA from 1 species
AGCUCCAAUAGCGUAUAUUAACGUUGUUGCAGUUAAAAAGCUCGUAGUUGGAUUUCUGACAGGAGUGACCGGUCCGAGCCUCACGGUUCGUGUACUUUGUGUUGUCUCUAGUCAUCCUUGCGGAGAGCGUGUUUGGCAUUAAGUUGCCGAGCGCGGGACCCGCAUCGUUUACUGUGAAAAAAUUAGAGUGUUUAAAGCAGGCAUACGCUGUGAAUACAUUAGCAUGGAAUAAUAAGAUAGGACUUUGGUACUAUUUUGUUGGUUUGCAUACCAAGGUAAUGAUUAAGAGGGACAGUUGGGGGUAUUCGUAUUUAAUUGUCAGAGGUGAAAUUCUUGGAUUUAUUGAAGACGAACUACUGCGAAAGCAUUUACCAAGGAUGUUUUCAUUAAUCAAGAACGA